GUCGCGAUAAUUCACCGCCGUGAAGUUGCCGUCGUAUAAACGGUCGCGACGACUAAUUACGCGCGUCAGUCAGUGAUGUAUUAGUUCGAGCUGUUGCGUGUAUAUCUGAUAUCGUCAGGAGUGUGCGUGAUAUUUUGAUCGUCGGUUUCUCGCGCAAUUUAUCGGACAAAGUGUGACGCGAGUGUCAUAAAUGUAGCGCGAGUGCAGUGGUUUGGAGGCUCCUGCGAGAUUUCCAAGUUUUCCAAGCGUUCGCCUAGCGGGAAUAAAAAAUUCCAGAGCGCUGGGCCCGUCGAAAGGAGUAGGCUCGAGAGCAACCGAGUAAGUAAAAGACAAUUUAAAUCAAAUCAAAAUGAUUUCAAAAAAUUAUUUUUUUAUAUGUACAUUAAUAACACUGAUCGACGAAAAUUCAGUUCUUUUUUGUCUUAAAGUAAAUAAAAUUGCUUGUGGUAGAAACAAUUAUUUUGAUGCACUGAAUGAGGUCCCAAAAAUGUCGUAUUACAAGUUUUGAGAUAUUCUAACCGAAAGGUAAAAAGAAUGAAGUGUUUGGCUAUUUUCAACGAUUUACAAAAUAUUUAAAUUUUUUUUCAACGUCCAAGCGGUUGUCACAUUAAAGUGUUGUUAUUUUUACUCUUUCCAAAGCAUAUUCAAUUUACUCAAUGAAAAAAUCUCAGUGAAAAAAAGUCGGAUUAUAGUAAUUUAAUUAUUACCCUUUAGAAAAGAAUUUCAAAAAGUCACUAAUUUUUCAGCAUCGAAAAGGUAUGUAGCUCUUUAAUGAUAAAUGAUGUGGGGAUUGGAGAAGAGGGUUCGAGGGUUGAAAAAAAACGCACGCGCACGUGUCAGCGCAAUUUAAUUCUUUAAUUGUUGUCAGUCGGAUUCGAAAUACACUAGUCGAUCUUUAUUAUAAUUAUUAUUGUAUAUACGUGGUACUCUUUCGAGAGAUAUAAACAAUACAUAAUACAACGACGAAAUAAUGACAAUAUGCUGUCUUCUUUGUAUAACCGUCUUAAAAAUUAUACAUACAUACAAUCCGUCAGUGGGAACCGCACUCGCAAUUGAAUCGCGUGUGAAACACAUGUGAGUUAAAAACGAAAGCGACGAUUUUUAUCCCCAGCGAGUUUUUCCGGGGGAUGAAACGAGGGAGAGGUUGUUUCUAUUUAUUUUUUGUUUUAUCGAUACCCUUGCAGGGUGAAAGCCCGCACUCCCCUUAUCGGAAGCGCAAAGUCGCGUCAGCAGUUCGUUGAAAACUCGAUAACGAUUGCGACGGAUCGAUCGUUGACGAUCGAGCGUCCUGAUCGUGCGCGUCUGGAAACGUAUCGACAAUCAGGACACGGUAUCGUCUGCCUAACGGCCCUAAGAAACGUUCAUUAUCGUGCAAGUUUUACGAAACACAUGACUGUACACUUACGUCAACUAAAGUGCGCAAAAUGUAAUAUAAUAUUCAUUGUCAACGAAUAUUACGCGUCCAAAAAGAAUCAUGUUACUUUCUCGCGAAAAUAUUUUCGAUAUAGGGAUAAACAAGAUUUUUUAAAUCCCUGAGAAUUUUCAGGUCCUCAAUUUUUCCCGGAAUAUAUCGUCUGCGAUAAAAAAUUUUUUCGAAUCUAGAUAUUCCCAAUUACUUAAAAAUUUUAAUUAAGAAAUUUUUAAGAUACAAUCACAUUUCCGGACAAUUCAUCAAAAAAUUCUGACUGUAAGACUGUAAAUUUUUUUAUUCUUAGGUUAUAAAUUGUUUGAAAUAUAUUUUUUAAUCUUAGGAUUUACGAAUCCUGCGUUUAAUUUUCGGACUUCUUGAUUCUUUUUCUUUCUCUCUCUCUCUCUCUCUCUCUCUCUCUCUCGGUAACAAAUAAUUAUGACACUAAUUCGUUUAAUGGAAGAUUUUUUUUGGACACCGGUGUAUACGUAACGCAAAAUCUACGGCUAUGGAAGCUCCUAAUUGCGCGAUUAAUCCUCUCCCUUCGUCAUCCCCUGCCAUCAUCGCUCUGUAAGGUUUCAUAAUUAACACUAAACGCGUGAUGGUGGUGGUAGUGGUGGUGAUAGUGAUGGUGGUGGUGGUGGUGGUGGUGGUGAUGGUGAUGGUGAUGGUGAAGGUCCUCUAAAACAUCUAAGAUGCACACCCAUGCUUAUUUAAUGCUCCGUUAAUUUAAAUACGUAUGCAGCACAGUAGACUAUCAUUUUUUUUUCCUAUUCGUUAAUGCGCGUGUUACAUGUGUAAUGGUAUGCGUGGGUACGAUUUUUUUUUACUUUUUCUUUUCUUCCUUUAUCUCCCCCUCGCUCCCUGUUCGAGUUUACAAGCGGCCUCGUCGAGUCGCGUGGAUCAUCGUUCCACUUGUAAGUCAUCCCUCACAUCCGCGAUUUCUUUCCCUCCCUCUUAAUUAAAGCCCGGGUCGGCGGGUGUGUCGCCCCGGAUAGUAAUUCGACGUUUCCAAGUAGGGAAGUAGCCAAAUAGUCAUCGGUCGCGCGCGCGUUUCGCGGAAGCGCAUCGACGAGGCCGGCAAUCUUUUUCUUCUUCUCUUUCUUCGACGUGUCGCGCGAGAAUUCCCGCGGGGUACGAGAUACGUUUCUUUUCGAGGUCCUUCGUCCGUAUUCUUUUUUUUUCCAGUCGCUGAAACGGGGGCGUCGCGAAACCGGCGCAAUCUCCGCGAGAUCAAGCCUCCGGAACGAAUGCGGGAAAACAAUAACUUUUCUUCCAUCGUUCACCGAAAUUACGGGCGGUCGCGAUCUCCCCCCGACCCCGCGACUG